UACGUAGGUGGCAAGCGUUGUCCGGAUUUACUGGGCGUAAAGAGCGCGCAGGCGGUCGUUCAAGUCGCGUGUGAAAGCCCCCGGCUCAACUGGGGAGGGUCACGCGAUACUGAUCGACUCGAAGGCAGGAGAGGGAAGUGGAAUUCCCGGUGUAGUGGUGAAAUGCGUAGAUAUCGGGAGGAACACCAGUGGCGAAGGCGACUUCCUGGCCUGUUCUUGACGCUGAGGCGCGAAAGCUAGGGGAGCAAACGGA
rnacentral:rRNA from 1 species